rnacentral:rRNA from 1 species
CGGGUGAGUAACGCGUGGGUAAUCUACCCUUGGAUUUGGAAUAACUCCGCGAAAGUGGAGCUAAUACCGGAUAGUCUGGCUUUUAAUAGAAGUCGGUAAAGGAUGCCUCUGCAUAUGCAUUCGUCCGAGGAUGAGCCCGCGUCUCAUUAGCUAGUUGGUAGGGUAAUGGCCUACCAAGGCAACGAUGAGUAGCUGGUCUGAGAGGAUGAUCAGCCACACUGGAACUGAAACACGGUCCAGACUCCUACGGGAGGCAGCAGUGGGGAAUAUUGCGCAAUGGGCGAAAGCCUGACGCAGCAACGCCGUGUGAGGGAUGAAGGCUUUCGGGUCGUAAACCUCUGUCGGAAGGGAAGAACGGGCAUUGGUCUAAUAGGCCUUUGUUUUGACGGUACCUUUAGAGGAAGCACCGGCUAACUCCGUGCCAGCAGCCGCGGUAAUACGGAGGGUGCAAGCGUUAUUCGGAAUUACUGGGCGUAAAGCGCACGUAGGCGGCCUUGUAAGUCAGGGGUGAAAUCCCACGGCUCAACCGUGGAACUGCCUUUGAAACUGCAGGGCUUGAAUCCUGGAGAGGGUGGCGGAAUUCCUGGUGUAGGAGUGAAAUCCGUAGAUAUCAGGAGGAACACCGGUGGCGAAGGCGGCCACCUGGACAGGUAUUGACGCUGAGGUGCGAAAGUGUGGGGAGCAAACAGGAUUAGAUACCCUGGUAGUCCACACCGUAAACGAUGGAUACUAGGUGUCGGGGAC